GUGUCGUGUGUCGUGUGUCGUGUGUCGUGUGUCGUGUGUCGUGUGUCGUGUGUCCUGUGUCCUGUGUCGUGUGUCGUGUGUCGUGUGUCGUGUGUCGUGUGUCGUGUGUCGUGUGUCGUGUGUCGUGUGUCGUGUGUCAUGUGUCGUGUGUCCCGCCAGCUUGUCAUCACCACAAGUUCUUGGGCUGUUAUUGAGGUAGUUUGUUAAAUUUGAUAGUGUGUAUUUGCAACAUGGCGUCUACUAACCUUUACAUUUGACAAGACACAUCCAUCAAACAAGCACGCACCACGGAGGAAAACAUCAGCAGAAGAAGAUGAAAGCUAUGCUGGAGAUGGAGGGAGCUGCCAUGCAAGGCGCUAACCAGGACCCAUCUAUGGUGUGGUUUGUUUUCCCGUGGUGCAAAGCGUUUGGAACGGACAUGGCGUGAAGUGGAAGCAUCCGACGGUUGGGGGCGGCCGGUGGGACGAGGCAAGAGAGUUCGCAGCUGCCUCUUUGACAGGUGCAGGAGGAACGACGCAAGCUCUCCGCUCAUGUCUACGCCCGCUAACAGCCAAGGACUUCAAGGACCUCAACGAAGAUAACAUGACAGCAUGCAGACGAAGCAGAGACUUCAAGGACCUCAACGAAGAUAAGAUGACAACGCGCAGACAAGGCGAUAUUCCGUCACGUACCUUGCGUCCAGGACCUGCUUUGCAUAAUAUAUUUGACCCUUCCUUUUAGAGGCGGCCUCAGUGGUGUUGACUAUGGAACUCUGAAUAAAAAGAGGGAGGCGGGAGCUGAACCUUAGAGCGUAGGGCGAGACUGUGACUAAGUGUUCAGCGCAAUGCGUUC